GUGCUCACUUCAGCAGCAGAUAAACUAAAAUUAGAAUUAUACAGAGAAGAUCUACAUGACCUUUGCACAAGGAUGACAUGCAAAGUUGUGAAACAUUCCAUAUGUUU